UACAGAGGGUGCAAGCGUUGCUCGGAAUCAUUGGGCGUAAAGGGUAGGUAGGUGGUCUCAUUUGUCUGGGGCGAAAGCCCAGGGCUUAACCCUGGAAGUGCCCCGGAAACGGUGAGACUGGAGUACUGGAGAGGGUCGUGGAAUUCCCGGUGUAGCGGUGAAAUGCGUAGAGAUCGGGAGGAACACCAGAGGCGAAGGCGGCGACCUGGACAGUAACUGACACUCAACUACGAAAGCGUGGGGAGCAAACAGG
rnacentral:rRNA from 1 species